GAUGAACGCUGGCGGCGUGCCUAAUACAUGCAAGUCGAGCGAACAGGCGAGGAGCUUGCUCCUCUGACGUUAGCGGCGGACGGGUGAGUAACACGUGGAUAACCUACCUAUAAGACCGGGAUAACUUCGGGAAACCGGAGCUAAUACCGGAUAAUAUAUUGAACCGCAUGGUUCAAUAGUGAAAGACGGUUUUGCUGUCACUUAUAGAUGGAUCCGCGCCGCAUUAGCUAGUUGGUAAGGUAACGGCUUACCAAGGCAACGAUGCGUAGCCGACCUGAGAGGGUGAUCGGCCACACUGGAACUGAGACACGGUCCAGACUCCUACGGGAGGCAGCAGUAGGGAAUCUUCCGCAAUGGGCGAAAGCUUGACGGAGCAACGCCGCGUGAGUGAUGAAGGUCUUCGGAUCGUAAAACUCUGUUAUUAGGGAAGAACAAAUGUGUAAGUAACUAUGCACGUCUUGACGGUACCUAAUCAGAAAGCCACGGCUAACUACGUG
rnacentral:rRNA from 1 species